rnacentral:SRP_RNA from 1 species
GCUGGGCAUGGUGGCUCAUGCCUGUAAUCCCAGAAAUUUGGGAGGCCAAGGUGGGUGGAUCACUUGAGGUCAGGAGUUCGAGACCAGCCUGACCAACAUGGUGAUACCCCAUCUCUA